GCGCCCGACCUCCACCCUUUGUUGUUAAAACUACCUUGUUGCUUUGGCGGGACCGCUCGGUCUCGAGCCGCUGGGGAUUCGUCCCAGGCGAGCGCCCGCCAGAGUUAAACCAAACUCUUGUUAUUUAACCGGUCGUCUGAGUUAAAAUUUUGAAUAAAUCAAAACUUUCAACAACGGAUCUCUUGGUUCUCGCAUCGAUGAAGAACGCAGCGAAAUGCGAUAAGUAAUGUGAAUUGCAGAAUUCAGUGAAUCAUCGAAUCUUUGAACGCACAUUGCGCCCCUUGGUAUUCCGAGGGGCAUGCCUGUUCGAGCGUCAUUACACCACUCAAGCUAUGCUUGGUAUUGGGCGUCGUCCUUAGUUGGGCGCGCCUUAAAGACCUCGGCGAGGCCACUCCGGCUUUAGGCGUAGUAGAAUUUAUUCGAACGUCUGUCAAAGGAGAGGAACUCUGCCGACUGAAACCUUUAUUUUUCUAGGUUGACCUCGGAUCAGGUAGGGAUACCCGCUGAACUUAAGCAUAUCAAUA
rnacentral:rRNA from 1 species